rnacentral:lncRNA from 1 species
UUUCUCUGAUGCACCAGACUGAAGAAAGAAUGCAUCUCUCUACAACUUCUCUCGUCCAUAUCUCUCUCAUCUUCUUCUCUUCUUCCAAACAAGCCGUUAGUGACACACACUGCAUCCUUUCUUCUUUGCAUAGUUAUAGAUAAAAAGAGGACAAACUAUGCAACAGGCUUACUGUCACUUUUGUUUUGAGUAAGUACAUGUUAUUAGAAAAUAUUCAUUUUUAUAUGGAUUCAAUUCAUAUGCACUGACAAUUUAAAGAAUUUUACACUGACAGUCUAUCACAAUCGUUGGAUUGCUAUAAAUAUUUGACUUUAAUCAUAUCUUCUUUAUAAAUUACACAAAAGGUGAUUUAUGAUUGGAUAUUUACCUUUCUAGAAGAAUGUUGCAAAUUUCCAAAGAGUAGAAGGCGUAUCUGAUGUCUGAUAUGAUAUGACAGAGAUGCAUGUGAUUACAUUCAAUUAAUUAUUUUUUACAAAUUAUUAUCGGUUUUGACUUGCCAGAGUUAGUUUCGUGUUGAGUGUUCGUGUAUGUGUCGGUGCUUCGUUGAGGGAUUGCAAGGUGUCUUGUAUUACAUGUUCUCUUUCUUGAUUGCAUUCAUUCCCAAUGGAAGAUUAUCAAAGCACCAAAUAAUGGUUGAGUGGCAAUAGCUACCACAGAAUAUAACCUAUCAUUUGAUUUUGGGAUUGACCAUGGAAAGUCAUGCCCUUUUUGUUUCCUUUAUAAAAAAAAAUCUCAAUUUUCUUAGGCCCUAAAAGGGCAACCCAGUGCACUGAAACUCCCGCAUAUGAAGGGUUCGGGAAGGGGUCCCAUCAUUUGGUGUAUUGUACGCAGCCUUACCCUGUUUUUUACACAAGAGACUGUUUCCAGGACUUAAACCUGUGACCUUUCAGUCACAUGACAACAACUUUACCAGUUGUGUCAAGGUUACCCCUCAAUUUUCUUAGACCCUCUUUCAAUUUGAACUUUUUGGUACUUUCAAUGUAUAAAUGCAUUUUAUUAUGUUCCUGAUACCCCGAUUUCUAUUUCAAUCUUUACUCUUUAUUUAUUUGAUCUUUUAACUUUAUGUCACAUAUUCUUGAUAUCAAUUUCUAUCCCCAUUUUUUGAUAAGUUUGAAAUUGUUAAAAGAUAUGUAUUAAGCUGGUUUUGCACAAGUGAGAAGCACACAUUAUGUCUACAAUGGAUUCCAUAUGGCCUUUGACAAGAUAUUUAUAUUUGCCUGUAAUAUUUUCAGAUUUUAAAACAGAAUUGGUGGCUGUUAUUUGGUUUCGAUAUGCUUGAGUAGCCAUACUUUUAUCAUGUUUUCAAUAUAUGCUUUCACAGUAUGAAUUCAUUUGUUUCUUUCAGUGGUAUAAUCCGAAGGCCAUAUGAUUUAGAUCUAAAGUUACCUUAUGGUUCACCAUAGAUGGGUGAUCCACUGUUGUCUUGACUCAGAUUUCUGCUUGAUCAUGCACACACAUUCACCUUUGAUCUUGCUUCGUGUUUUUUCAGCAUCGACUCAAUGGACCAAACUGGUUUUGGUUCUGUUUCUGCCUUCCCAGCACACCAAUCCAAUGGGCUAGUUGCACCAAAAGUUGCUCAUGCUUUUCUGUUUCUGAUACUAGCACUUGUUUGAAGCAGUUAGCAUUGUUGCCUUUUUCACCUCACAAUGGCCCAGCGAACUCAUGGUUUCUCUUGUCCGCUCGACCUUCUUUUGG